GACGUAGGGCGCGAGCGUUGUCCGGAUUUAUUGGGCGUAAAGAGCUCGUAGGCGGCUUGUCGCGUCGAAUGUGAAAUCUCGGGGCUCAACUCCGAGCUUGCAUUCGAUACGGGCAGGCUAGAGUUCGGUAGGGGAGACUGGAAUUCCUGGUGUAGCGGUGAAAUGCGCAGAUAUCAGGAGGAACACCAAUAGCGAAGGCAGCUCGCUGGGACGGUACUGACGCUGAGGCGCGAAAGCGUGGGGAGCGAACAGG
rnacentral:rRNA from 1 species